UGGGGAAUAUUGCACAAUGGGCGCAAGCCUGAUGCAGCCAUGCCGCGUGUAUGAAGAAGGCCUUCGGGUUGUAAAGUACUUUCAUCGGGGAGGAAGGGAGUAAAGUUAAUACCUUUGCUCAUUGACGUUACCCUCAGAAGAAGCACCGGCUAACUCCGUGCCAGCAGCCGCGGUAAUACGGAGGGUGCAAGCGUUAAUCGGAAUUACUGGGCGUAAAGCGCACGCAGGCGGUUUGUUCAGUCAGAUGUGAAAUCCCCGGGCUCAACCUGGGAACUGCAUCUGAUACUGGCAAGCGUGAGUCUCGUAAAGGGGGGUAGAAUUCCAGGUGUAGCGGUAAAAUGCGUAGAGAUCUGGAGGAAUACCGGUGGCGAAGGCGGCCCCCUGGACGAAGACUGACGCUCAGGUGCGAAAGCGUGGGGAGCAAACAGG
rnacentral:rRNA from 1 species